CGCUCCCGCCUCAUGAGGCCCCGGACCCUCAGCUCCAGCGGGUCCUGCCUAGGCUCCUUGUGGGCGCCGGUCCCUCCGCCCCUGCCCUGGGGAAAUGGAAUGUUCGUUCUCGCCACAUAUCAAGCAGUUUCCAAGUUCAAAAGUGAAACUUUAGAAGAAGACAGCUAACCAGUAGAACAGAUUGCCAGCAGUGUGGUGUGAAUUUCCAUUACUCUCAGUUUAAAACAAGCAAGUUUCUCUAGAAAAAAUGCAGUGAGGGAGAAAAGUGGGAUACCAGAAGCUCAGGCAGCUGAACAACACUGGGAAACACCUUAUAAAUUGGCUUCAGACCCCCAGCCAGCAAAGUGGGAAUUGCCCAGUGUUCUUGGGACCACUGACCUGCAGCUCCUGCCCGUGGCAUCAGGAGAGUGCCAAUAAAAUCCCUACAGGGCCAAUGGGAAAGAA